rnacentral:rRNA from 1 species
CCUACGGGGGGCUGCAGUGGGGAAUAUUGGACAAUGGGGGCAACCCUGAUCCAGCCAUGCCGCGUGUGUGAAGAAGGCCCUCGGGUUGUAAAGCACUUUCAGUGAGGAAGAACGCCUGGUGGUUAAUACCCAUCAGGAAAGACAUCACUCACAGAAGAAGCACCGGCUAACUCCGUGCCAGCAGCCGCGGUAAUACGGAGGGUGCGAGCGUUAAUCGGAAUUACUGGGCGUAAAGCGCGCGUAGGUGGCUUGAUAAGCCGGUUGUGAAAGCCCCGGGCUCAACCUGGGAACGGCAUCCGGAACUGUCAAGCUAGAGUGCAGGAGAGGAAGGUAGAAUUCCCGGUGUAGCGGUGAAAGGCGUAGAGAUCGGGAGGAAUACCAGUGGCGAAGGCGGCCUUCUGGACUGACACUGACACUGAGGUGCGAAAGCGUGGGUAGCAAACAGGAUUAGAUACCCUAGUAGUC